rnacentral:rRNA from 1 species
ACGCUCGACACCUACGGGAGCAGCAGUGGGGGAUAUUGCACAAUGGAGGAAACUCUGAUGCAGCGACGCCGCGUGAGGGAAGACGGUUUUCGGAUUGUAAACCUCUGUCUUCAGGGACGAAAUGAAUGACGGUACCUGAGGAGGAAGCUCCGGCUAACUACGUGUCAGCAGCCGCGGUAAUCUGAGCGGGCUGGCAAGGC